rnacentral:rRNA from 1 species
AUUGAACGCUGGCGGCAGGCCUAACACAUGCAAGUCGAACGAGUGGCGGACGGGUGAGUAAUGUCUGGGAAACUGCCUGAUGGAGGGGGAUAACUACUGGAAACGGUAGCUAAUACCGCAUACCAUCAGAGUAACCCAGAUGGGAUUAGCUAGUAGGUGGGGUAAAGUCUCACCAAGGCGACGAUCCCUAGCUGGUCUGAGAGGAUGAUCAGCCACACUGUAACUUAGACACGGUCCAGACUCCUACGGGAGUCAGCAUUGGGGAAUAUUUCACAAUGGGCGCAAGCCUGAUGCAGCCAUGCCGCGUGUAUGAAGAAGUCCUUCGGGUUGUAAAGUACUUUCAGCGGGGAGGCGUUACCCGCAGAAGAAGCACCUGCUAACUCCGUGCCAGCAGCCGCGGUAAUAC